rnacentral:misc_RNA from 1 species
CAAUUGUGCUAUCCGCAUGAACUCUUCAUAUAAACCAUAGGAUUAGGAAAUCUCAACAUCAUCCAUCGCAAAUCACUUACAAAUAUUCAAAUCCAGCGGCUACGAUUUGAAUACUUCAGGGCUCCACGUCAGAUGCACUUCCCACCGACUCUUCUGCUACAUGUUGAUGUUUCAUUAAAGAAUUACAUCCAUGGCUAACUUUACCUCGCCAUUUUGUAAUAUAUGCUGUGUUCAUGGGGUUCUGUGCAAAACCCCACCACCAGUUCGCCGCUUUCAACUCAAACUGGCAAUCUUUUUUGUCUUCAACUUCUCAACAGAUUCUUGCUUCAAUUGGUUACACGAGUUAUGAGGUCUUUUUUUCAAGCUGUCAAACUCUUCCAGUUGGACCCACCUUGUCUCAUAAGCUUCUCUAUCUCUAGCUGCUACCUUUUGCCGUUGCUGAUCACUUGACUAGUGAACUUUUCAUUCCACGAGCAAAAAUUCAGGAUAUAAACACAACUGCUAAAGUUAUAAUGCUCUGGUAAUCUGAAAGAUGGAGUGUAAUAGGCUUAAUAUGAGGGACUAUUGCUCUGGUUCAACAUCAUCAGAGGAAUCAGCAUUGGAUACUGAAAAAAAUGGCUGCAGUCAUCCUAGUCUGUCUUCAUUGAGUCCCCGAAAUCUUCAACCUUUUGCUUCUGCUGGACAGCACUGUGACAGCAAUGCUGCUUACUUCUCCUGGCCUAGCUGGCGGUUAAUUGAUGCUGCUGAGGAGAGGGCAGACUAUUUCGCAAAUUUGCAGAAAGGGGUUCUACCUGAAACUCUUGUUCGGUUGCCAAAGGGGCAACGAGCAACCACAUUGCUUGAACUCAUGACUAUUAGGGCAUUUCAUAGCAAAAUUUUGCGACGUUACAGUCUUGGUACAGCUAUUGGGUUUCGUAUUCAACAAGGUGUGCUGACUGAUAUACCAGCCAUUCUUGUUUUUGUUUCUAGGAAAGUUCAUAAGCAGUGGCUCAGCCCCAUCCAAUGUCUGCCCAAUGCCCUUGAGGGACCAGGAGGUGU